AUCCAGCUGACGAGUCCCAAAUAGAACGAAACGCGCAUCCUGAAU
rfam:Schistosoma mansoni strain Puerto Rico chromosome 1, complete genome